rnacentral:lncRNA from 1 species
UAAAGACACCAGAAAAGUGUAUAUUACAAUAGUUUACAAUAACCUGCUACGUAAUGAACAUAGUGCUUGUAAUAUUGUGUUUAUUUGUUUGUGUCGGUGAUUGCAAUCAGUCAAAACGACUUUUGAUUAAUACGGAUCAAUCGGCAUUAGAAGAUCGUUUUAGUCGAUUAGAAUCAGAGAUACUCAACCAGAAAACAUCACUUCAGCAUUUAUUGACUGAAAACCAGCAUUUGACGCUUGAAAAUCAGCUUCAUACAUCCACUGUCCAACAACUAAGUUCAGAAGUCCAGAAACUGUCGUUACAGCUGAAGACUUUAUCGACAUUGUCUAAUACUGAAUGUAAGUGUUUUGUAUUAUCGAGCGGGCCUAUACUCGGCUUCUGUAAGUGUUUUGUAUUAUCGAGCGGGCCUAUACUCGGCUUCUGUAAGUGUUUUGUAUUAUCGAGCGGACCUAUACUCGGCUUCUGUAAGUGUUUUGUAUUAUCGAGUGGACCUAUACUCGGCUUCUGUAAGUGUUUUGUAUUAUCGAGCGGACCUAUACUCGGCUUCUGUAAGUGUUUUGUAUUAUAGAGUGGGCCUAUACUCGGCUUCUGUAAGUGUUUUGUAUUAUCGAGCGGGCCUAUACUCGGCUUCUGUAAGUGUUUUGUAUUAUUAGAGUGGGCCUAUACUCGGCUUUGUAAGUGUUUUGUAUUAAUCGAGCGGCCUAUACUCGGCUUCUGUAAGUGUUUUGUAUUAUCGAGUGCCUAUACUCGGCCUGUAGUGUUUUGUAUUAUCGAGCGGACCUAUACUCGGCUUCUGUAAGUUUUUUGUAUUAUCGAGCGGACCUAUACUCGGCUUCUGUAAGUUUUUUGUAUUAUCGAGCGGGCCUAUACUCGGCUUCUGUAAGUUUUUGUAUUAUCGAGCGGACCUAUACUCGGCUUUCUGUAAGUUUUUGUAUUAUCGAGCGGGCCUAUACUCGGCUUCUGUAAGUGUUUGUAUUAUCGAGUGGGCCUAUACUCGGCUUCUGUAAGUGUUUUGUAUUAUCGAGUGGGCCUAUACUCGGCUUCUGUAAGUGUUUUGUAUUAUCGAGCGGGCCUAUACUCUGCUUCUGUAAGUGUUUUGUAUAAUCGAGCGGGCCUAUACUCGGCUUCUGAAUGGUAUACAUUUCAUACUGAUUCAGAACAUAUCCAAAGUCAAGAGUUUGAGUGAGUAUUGAAGAUCGAGAGAGAAAUUUUAAAAUUCAAUGAUGACAAGUCGACGUUGACAUAGCAGAAAUCAUUAUACACGUGUGUCUUAAUUACUGACCGAGAGUUUGUGACCUUAAUGAAAUUCAGUAUUCAAUUAUUUUUAUUUGUAUUAGUCUUCUUAUAUUUAAAAGUAAUUUGAGUGUUAAGUUGGAAUUUCAAAUGAGUCCUAUUAUUGGGGACCAAACAAAUAUCCCGAAAAAGUCGCAGAAAUCUUAUAAUAAAUAUAUAUGUUUUUGCAAUUUCGUUUGUGUGAAAUAUAUUGCAACACAUAAAACAUUAUAUGUAGACUAUAUUUAACAGCACAUGGUACAACAUACGUACGAUGGGCCAAGACUUCCUGUCCAAGUAACAACACAGAAUUAGUUUAUUCAGG